CACGUAGGGCGCAAGCGUUGUCCGGAAUUACUGGGCGUAAAGGGUGCGUAGGCGGGUCUUUAAGUCAGGGGUGAAAUCCUGGAGCUCAACUCCAGAACUGCCUUUGAUACUGAAGAUCUUGAGUUCGGGAGAGGUGAGUGGAACUGCGAGUGUAGAGGUGAAAUUCGUAGAUAUUCGCAAGAACACCAGUGGCGAAGGCGGCUCACUGGCCCGGUACUGACGCUGAGGUGCGAAAGCGUGGGGAGCAAACAGG
rnacentral:rRNA from 1 species